UACAGGGGGUGCAAACGUUGCUCGGAAUCAUUGGGCGUAAAGCGCACGUAGGCGGUUCGUUAUGUCGGAUGUGAAAGCCCUUGGCUUAACCGAGGAAGUGCAUCCGAAACUGGCGAGCUAGAGUACGAAAGAGGAUCGCGGAAUUCCCGGUGUAGAGGUGAAAUUCGUAGAUAUCGGGAGGAACACCGGUGGCGAAGGCGGCGAUCUGGGUCGAUACUGACGCUGAGGUGCGAAAGCGUGGGGAGCAAACGGG
rnacentral:rRNA from 1 species